AGGAAAAUUGGGGGGGGUGCCUAAUACAUGCAAGUCGAACGAACUCUGGUAUUGAUUGGUGCUUGCAUCAUGAUUUACAUUUGAGUGAGUGGCGAACUGGUGAGUAACACGUGGGAAACCUGCCCAGAAGCGGGGGAUAACACCUGGAAACAGAUGCUAAUACCGCAUAACAACUUGGACCGCAUGGUCCGAGUUUGAAAGAUGGCUUCGGCUAUCACUUUUGGAUGGUCCCGCGGCGUAUUAGCUAGAUGGUGGGGUAACGGCUCACCAUGGCAAUGAUACGUAGCCGACCUGAGAGGGUAAUCGGCCACAUUGGGACUGAGACACGGCCCAAACUCCUACGGGAGGCAGCAGUAGGGAAUCUUCCACAAUGGACGAAAGUCUGAUGGAGCAACGCCGCGUGAGUGAAGAAGGGUUUCGGCUCGUAAAACUCUGUUGUUAAAGAAGAACAUAUCUGAGAGUAACUGUUCAGGUAUUGACGGUAUUUAACCAGAAAGCCACGGCUAACUACGUGCCAGCAGCCGCGGUAAUACGUAGGUGGCAAGCGUUGUCCGGAUUUAUUGGGCGUAAAGCGAGCGCAGGCGGUUUUUUAAGUCUGAUGUGAAAGCCUUCGGCUCAACCGAAGAAGUGCAUCGGAAACUGGGAAACUUGAGUGCAGAAGAGGACAGUGGAACUCCAUGUGUAGCGGUGAAAUGCGUAGAUAUAUGGAAGAACACCAGUGGCGAAGGCGGCUGUCUGGUCUGUAACUGACGCUGAGGCUCGAAAGUAUGGGUAGCAAACAGGAUUAGAUACCCUGGUAGUCCAUACCGUAAACGAUGAAUGCUAAGUGUUGGAGGGUUUCCGCCCUUCAGUGCUGCAGCUAACGCAUUAAGCAUUCCGCCUGGGGAGUACGGCCGCAAGGCUGAAACUCAAAGGAAUUGACGGGGGCCCGCACAAGCGGUGGAGCAUGUGGUUUAAUUCGAAGCUACGCGAAGAACCUUACCAGGUCUUGACAUACUAUGCAAAUCUAAGAGAUUAGACGUUCCCUUCGGGGACAUGGAUACAGGUGGUGCAUGGUUGUCGUCAGCUCGUGUCGUGAGAUGUUGGGUUAAGUCCCGCAACGAGCGCAACCCUUAUUAUCAGUUGCCAGCAUUAAGUUGGGCACUCUGGUGAGACUGCCGGUGACAAACCGGAGGAAGGUGGGGAUGACGUCAAAUCAUCAUGCCCCUUAUGACCUGGGCUACACACGUGCUACAAUGGAUGGUACAACGAGUUGCGAACUCGCGAGAGUAAGCUAAUCUCUUAAAGCCAUUCUCAGUUCGGAUUGUAGGCUGCAACUCGCCUACAUGAAGUCGGAAUCGCUAGUAAUCGCGGAUCAGCAUGCCGCGGUGAAUACGUUCCCGGGCCUUGUACACACCGCCCGUCACACCAUGAGAGUUUGUAACACCCAAAGUCGGUGGGGUAACCUUUUAGGAACCAGCCGCCUAAGGUGACAAGAAUGUGG
rnacentral:rRNA from 1 species